GUGGGGAAUAUUGGACAAUGGGCGCAAGCCUGAUCCAGCCAUACCGCGUGAGUGAAGAAGGCCCUCGGGUUGUAAAGCUCUUUUGUUGGGAAAGAAAUCCUGUUGGUUAAUACCUGGCAGGGAUGACGGUACCCAAAGAAUAAGCACCGGCUAACUUCGUGCCAGCAGCCGCGGUAAUACGAAGGGUGCAAGCGUUACUCGGAAUUACUGGGCGUAAAGCGUGCGUAGGUGGUUGUUUAAGUCUGUCGUGAAAGCCCUGGGCUCAACCUGGGAAUUGCGAUGGAUACUGGGCGACUAGAAUGUGGUAGAGGGUGGCGGAAUUCCCGGUGUAGCAGUGAAAUGCGUAGAGAUCGGGAGGAACAUCCGUGGCGAAGGCGGCCACCUGGACCAACAUUGACACUGAGGCACGAAAGCGUGGGGAGCAAACAGGAUUAGAUACCCUAGUAGUCC
rnacentral:rRNA from 1 species